rnacentral:lncRNA from 1 species
GGCGGAAAGCCGUGCGGAGGUUCCUCGGAAGCUGAGGACGAGGACCGCAUGAUCCGGCGGCUCCCCUCUGGGUAGAUGCCCAACAGAGCGGACGGCGGGGACGCCGCUUCCAUAGCAGUGGUUCCCAGCAGCCAGAGGACGGUGACGCCGCAGGUGCCGCAGACGAUGAACGGAUAAGCAGAUUGUGUCCAUCAGGCCACGAAUGUUAUUCAGCCUUGAAAAGGGGGGGCUCUGACCCGGGGGGACCUUGAGGACAUUCUGCCGAGUGGAAAAGCCUGGCCCAGAAGGACAAAUACCACGGGAAUCCACUUACAUGAAGUCCCUGGAGUGUCUGAUCCGCAGGGACAGAAGGCAGCAGGGUGGCCAGGGCUGGAGGGAGGGGCCCAGAGUGGCUGCGUGAGGGUGGGGCUCCUUCUGGAAGAUGAGGGUGCUGACAGCCCCCCCCCAACGGUGUGAGCAUGUGCCCUGGAGCGUCUCCUUAGAACGUUAAGUGUUAUGUAUACACACAUUCCCACAAUCAAAAAGCCUCGGAACCUGCCUUCUGGGGAAGGAUGACCUGACAGGAAGCAGUAGAGAGACCACGCGGAAGGGCGCUGGGACCCUCCAGCCAGGGCACCAUCUGAGCAGAUGGCAGCAGAGACAGGGCAUUGAGGUGGCCAGAAUGUGAGGUAAAAAUAGAACCUCUGCUUUUAGCAACGCUUUUCUCAAGUUGGAAGCACAGCACUUUUAUGCAAAAGGCAGCAUUUUCUUCUUGCCCCUCUUAAGAGGAGCCACCGGAGAAAGAAGAGCUCUUGGCUUCGUGUAACCCGGCUGAGCACAGGGGAGAGACGGAAACCACACUGGACUAGAUUCCCUACCUCUGGUUCCAGCCGUUCAAGUCCUGCCACACCUCCUAAACCUCUAAGCACGCGGACUUCAAACAUUUAUUUCCAGAACCCAUGUAACGAGAAACGUGCCUACAGAGAAAACCGGGAAACUGUGUGGGGACAACGGAUAGAAGACAGAAGGCGUUCGUUGGACGGCGAGGAAGUUGUCUGACAUCCAGGAAGCAGGCAGACGCCCGGUCAGGUGAGAAGAAGGAGAGCAGCGAAGAAGGGGGAGCCGUGUGCGUCCUCCCCAGGGAGAGGGAGCGCCACGCGCCCGGGCUGUCAGCCGCACCGGCCGCCCCCAAGGAUGAAGCCCCUGUCUCCACCGGUGCCCAGACAGCGUCCUAACUCCCGUGGGGACGCCUUUCAGAAGCGCCCUCAGCCCCAUAAGAAAAUACCGGCAAUUGUCAUUCUUUAAAGUCAUGGCCACACACGGGUCCAAAGAUGCCCACGUGCCAGCUGGACGCUGCUUACUCACCGUGCCUGAGUCUGUUUCUUAAAAGUCAGCAUGACUCUCACAGGAUACACUGCUAAGGUUAGGGUUUUUUUAGGUGGCCUUUAAAAGAGGGAGGAGGAAGGGAGGGAGGAAAUAUAUUUUGUGACCCGGGCUGUCUCGACUGAGAAGUGUGCAUCCUUUCAAAGGGUUUUCAGGUAUACUUUUGAGUAUGUUUCUUUAAAAUCUGUAAACAUGGCUUUAUUUUAUUUUUCUUGAAAAGUGGUAAUAUUUAAUUAAAUGUACCCUGGGAAAUUUCCCUAAUAUUNUUCCCUAAUUUUUUUUUUUUUUUUUUUUUUUUUUUUUCUUUGGUCUUCUUGGUCUCUUUAGUGGCAAAUGGUGGUUCCCAGGCUAGGGGUCUAAUCGAAGCCGCAGCUGCCACGCUACACCACAGCCACAGCAACACCAGCUCCUUAACCCCCUGUACAAGUCCAGGGAUCAAACCUGUGUCCUCAUGGAUACUGGUUGGGUUCAUUUCCACUGAGCCACAGCAGGAACUCCGCCUAAUUUUUCUUUUUAAAACAUGCUUCCUUUCCAGAUUUUAGUUCAACUGGACACCCCCCGCUCCCAGUAUUAUUUUUGGAGCUUUGUAGGUUUUCCUCAGCCAGAAGAAGAACGUUGUGUUACGGUGAAAAAGUAUGGGCAGCACUCUACAUAAAGGGAUGGAUUACACAUUUAUGUGGGCCCUUUCUUUAACUCGCACUGUAAAAUACAGCAAAAGCUUUUUGAAAGAUAUAAACUCACCAGUUUUCUUUUAAAGAGGGUAGGAAAGAAAAACAGCUACAUUUUAGAAGCUGCUUAAGCAGAGAAAUUUCCAUUUCCGGAAAUAAAGUUCAUCAGGGU